rnacentral:tRNA from 1 species
GCCUGGGUGGCUCAGUCAGUUGAGCACCUGACUUCAGCUCAGGUCAUGAUCUCCUGGUUCGUGGGUUUGAGCCCCACAUCAGGCU